rnacentral:lncRNA from 1 species
UUUUAACCCUGUGACCACGUGGAAUUGUCUCUGCAACCAUGCAGAAUUAAGGCAUAAAAAAUAGACAUUCAUCCAUGAGUCAAAAGGCAGUGGGCCUGACUCAAACUCAAUGCCGACCCUGACAUACUGUAUGUGUGCAAGGUUGUGCUGAGCGACUAGUGCUUUUUGAGGUUGGUUGGGUUUUGUUUAGAUUUAGUUUGAGAAUUUUAGUUAAAUGUGACCCGUUUCAGGCAACUAGGCAUAUGUUGCAAGUCAUGAGUUCACAGGAGAGCCAUUUCAAUGUUUUUUAACAUUUUUCAAAUUGAGUUUUUUUUACAGAACUAUAAGGCUAUUUUAGCUGGUCAGUCUGUUGGUAAUCCUGUCGAAUGCGGGUUAAUUUAAAAUAUAUCGUGUAGUAGCAUAUGCGUUGCUCUCCACUUUCUGGAGGAUCUUGUUUUGAAAUCAGUGGAAUUAGAGUAUUGAUAGUUGAAGAGAUGGAGGAAACGCCUGUCUCCGGAUUAAAUCUUGUAAUUAAGGGCAACCGUGGCAUGGCAUCUGCGACAGGGAGACGCGUCCAUCACGCAUGGUGUAUUCGGGUAAGAUGGUCUAGCAUUAGAUGGCAACAUUUUCUGAUAUUACACAUUUAUAAUUUUGACAAAGUGGUUUUAUUUCAAGCUAAAAUCUACUGUUAGCUAGCUAACAUUAGCUGGCUGGCUCCUUAGUUAACAUUAAGUGUAUGACAUUAUUAUGCGUAUCCCAAAACUGUUUGCUUUGCUAGUUUGUGCCUAAUGUUAGCUACCUAACAUUGAACCUGGUUGGUUAGCUCCCAGCAGAUUCAUGCAGGGUAGUAACAACAUGAUUUGGCACUAUGUUCAUUGUUAGCUGGCUGGCUCGUUAGCUAAUGUUACGUGACGUGUGUGUGUGAUCUUACACGUUGUUUACCUAGCUAGGUUCAUUGUUUACCUAGCUAGCUACAUGUCUUAAACUAAAGUAUACUGUUAACUAGCUAACGUUAGCUGGCUGGCUCCCUAGCUGACGUUGUUAUUCGUAUCCCAGAGCCGUUUGCUUGGCUAGUUAUUGCCUAAUGUUAGCAAGCUAACAUUGAACCUGGUUGGUUAUACCCCAGCAGAUUCAUACAGGGUAGACAUGACACGAUUUGGCACUUCUGUAUGUUCAUUGUUGUUUAACUAGCUAACGUUAGCAGGCUGGUUCGUUAGCUUACGUGACGUGUGUGAUCUUAUACAUUGUUUACUUAGCUAUGUUCAUUGUUUAGCUAGCUGCAUGUUGAAUAUGACCAGUGUUAGUAAACAUCGGCGUAAAAAACGUAAUGAAAUUGUUGCCAGCAGAGCUGGUUGAGUUGUUCAUGUUAUCCAGAGGUAAACAAAUCAUUGGCCAGAGUGUCAAGUGUGCGCUCUGAACGCUUCUAGAGCGAAAUGAGAUGGGUGGGGCUAAAGCUUAAGAGGGUGUGAACGACGCUGAAUGGGUGUAGCCAAAGAAGAGCUCUUCGGUAGAUGCCAAAACAUUCAAGGCCAUUUUCCCAAACGUGAGUUUAAAGGUUUAUCAACUUUCAAAGCAGAAUUACUUUCCCAUUGUUCAAAAAAAAGGGUAUGAUAUGCCAUUUUGUAGCUCUGAGUCUCUACUUUUAUCAAAUGUAAAAAAUAAAAAAAACACAAUUUCAAAUUUUGCUACAUAAGACCGAAUCCAGGUGGUCAGUCACAAAUGCAUUAUGUGGGUUGACUUCUGUAACGACACUCUGAGAUGGACAGGAAGAAGUCCAAGAAGUACCACUAUGACCUCUGCAGAGUCAUCAAACAAGCAAAAGGACAAUAUAGGAACAAGGUGGAAUUAUAUUAGACAGGCCUGCCACUACAGUCCAUUAUGGAUUACAAAGGAAGACCCAGCUGUGAUCUGCCCAACAAUGCCUCUCUACCAGAUGAACUCAAUGCAUUUUAUGCACACUUCAACAACAUCAUGCCAGGGUUGUGUCUGAGGGUGCUGAUACUGCAGCUCUUAUACUAUUCCAAUGACAUUUCAGAAACCUGACAGAGCAUAUCCAACACUCAGACACCAUUCAGAAACAAAGCAUUUGUGUUUAGUGAGUCAUCAGAUCAGAGGUGUCAUGGUUCCACCUGUCACCAGAGGGCGGCAGAGACCGUCCUAGAGACAAUAAUGAAUCUCAGUAACAGGUAGUGAACCAGUUCUCUCUGAAGCAAGAGGAGGAGGUCAGGUUCAUCAGAUGGUCACCACAACCUAAACUCACCUGGAGAAACGAAGAGGGGACAGAGAUAAAAUAAUGAACAACAAGUACACAACACCUCUGAUCCUCAGGGCUUGGUGAGUGUCAGUAGUUGGCUGCUGUACUCUCCCUCAGAUUCUGAUUGGCUCUCCUGUACAGUCUCUCUGUCGGAGGAGAAGAAAGAGACUGGAGACCAGCCCCAUGUAUACAGAAAUCGUAAUACACAGCAACAUUUGUCAAUUGAUGAAAGGUCCUGGAGAGCAGGCAGUGUGCGUUGGGCAGACAGCACCACCCUCUGGAGUGCCCUGCGGUUGCGGGCGGUGCAGUUGCCAUACCAGGAGUGGUCCCGUCGAUGUGGAUAGGGGCGCGCUCCCUCUGCUGUCCCCUGGCUAAAAACUAUCUCCACCCGGCACAGCCAGAAGAGGCCUGGUUCCUCUCUAGGUUUCCUCCUAGGUUCCUGCCUUUCUAGGGAGUUUCUCCUAGCAGAACUUGCUCAGUUCUGCCUUCAGGACAAGACUCAUCCCAAUAAACAUCAACCUAUUGAAGAGGCAUUAGAAGAAGACAAAAAUGUAUAUUACCAAUUGAACGACAUCUAUUGCAGGAUAAAUCAAUGUUGCAUUUUACUUUAUGGGUUGGUUAUGUAGGCUUGUUUUAACCCAUUGCUAUCUACUAUGAUUAGGCAAUAUCUUUGCGUUUCUGUCAGAUUCAGUCAUUCCAAUUAAUUUAAUACCCCUUGAUCUUUAAGAAUAGGAAAUAUGGAACUAUACCUUGAGUGUACAAAACAUUAGGAACACCUUCCUAAUAUUGAGUUUCACCCUCUUUUUCCCUAAAAGCAGCCUAAAUUCGUCAGGGCAGUACUCUACAAGGUGUCGUAAGUUUUCCACAGGGAUGCUGGCCCAUGUUGACUCCAGUGCUUCCCACAGUUGUGUCAAGUUGGCUGGAUGUCCUUUGGGUGGUUGGCCAUUCUUGAUAGAAAUGGGAAACUGUUGAGCAUGAAAAACCCAGCAGUGUUGCAGUUCUUGACACAAACCAGUGCGCCUGGCACCUACUACCAUACCCUGUUUAAUACCACUUACAUAUUUUGUCUUACCCAUUCACACUCUGAACAGCACACAUACACAAUCCAUGUCUCAAUUGUCUCAAGGCUUAAAAAAUCCUUCUUUAACCAGUCUUCUCCCUUCACUACACUGAUUCAAGUGGACAUCAAUACGGGAUCAUAGCUUUCAUCUGGAUUCACCUGGUCAGUCUAUGCCAUGGAAAGAGCAGGUGUUCCUCAUGUUUUGUGCACUCACUAUGGAUUAGCCGAAUUGUUUGACCUGGGCAUAACCAAAAAACUAAGGACAAAUUAGCCUACUCUGUUUUUUGUUUAUUUUUUGGGGGUCACGGAGGGUUGAUUGGGCUCAUUGCUUCGAGUUAAAAAUAAAUUUGCUCUCGGAAUGGCAUGUUUGGAGCACUACCGAAAAGUAAAAAACUAGAUGGUAAAAGCAUGUGGAAAAACUAGAUGGUAAUUUUCCAUGAAGAAAAUAAAAGCCCCACUUGUGGACUUCUGAAAUUGAACUUGUACUUGAUAGUAUGGAGCACAAUACCACGAGGGAGUUUAGAAGGGAGGAACUCAAACUUGUAUUCCAUAGGCUGGGAUCCACGCCAUGCAGCUGUUGAAAUACCGCGUUUGUCACUGGCUGGCCACUGGGGCGUAUUCAUUACUCCGUCUCUGCAAAACAUUUCUUAAACGGAAGCAAACGGAACGAAAACAGAGACCUUGUCACGUCCUGACCGGUAAUAGGGGUUAUUUGUUAUUGUAGUUUGGUCAGGACGUGGCAGACGGUAUUUGUUUUAUGUGGUUCGGGGUGGUUGGUUGUUUAGAAGGGUGUUUGAUUUAUUAUUUCCGGGUUUUGGGCUAUGUUCAUUCUAGUAUUAGUAUUUCUUUGUUUAGGUCAUUGGGUGUUGGACUCUCAAUUGGAGGCAGGUGUUUCCUAGUUGCCUCUGAUUGAGAGACCUAUAUAUAGGUAUGUAUUUGUGUUGGUAGUUUGUGGGAGAUUGUGCUAGGUAUAGCUUUUAAGCCUUACCGGCCUGUUAUUCGUCAUUGUGUUUUGUGUACGUGUUUAUUUUGGUUUUCCCUUUGCCAAUUUAAUAAAAGAAGAUGAGUGCACAUAACCCUGCUGCGUUUUGGUCCGACAAUGAUUUUUCUUUUAUCAUCUGACGAAGAAGAAUGUGACAGACCUA